rnacentral:rRNA from 1 species
UACGUAGGGUGCGAGCGUUGUCCGGAAUUAUUGGGCGUAAAGAGCUCGUAGGCGGUUUGUCGCGUCUGCUGUGAAAACUCGGGGCUUAACCCCGGGCCUGCAGUGGGUACGGGCAGACUAGAGUGCGGUAGGGGAGACUGGAAUUCCUGGUGUAGCGGUGAAAUGCGCAGAUAUCAGGAGGAACACCGGUGGCGAAGGCGGGUCUCUGGGCAAUAACUGACGCUGAGGAGCGAAAGCGUGGGGAGCGAACAGG